GGCGAACGCUGGCGGCGUGCUUAACACAUGCAAGUCGAACGGUGAAGCGCCUUCCUUUUUGGUGGGUGUGGAUGAGUGGCGAACGGGUGAGUAACACGUGAGUAACCUGCCCCCUUCUUCUGGAUAACCGCAUGAAAGUGUGGCUAAUACGGGAUAUUCUGGGUCUGUCGCAUGAUGGGUCUGGGAAAGAUAUUGUUUCGGUGGGGGAUGGGCUCGCGGCCUAUCAGCUUGUUGGUGGGGUGAUGGCCUACCAAGGCGGUGACGGGUAGCCGGCCUGAGAGGGUGGACGGUCACACUGGGACUGAGACACGGCCCAGACUCCUACGAGAGGCAGCAGUGGGGAAUAUUGCACAAUGGGCGCAAGCCUGAUGCAGCGACGCCGCGUGAGGGAUGGAGGCCUUCGGGUUGUGAACCUCUUUCGCCAGUGAAGCAGGCCUGCCUCGUUUGUGGGUGGGUUGACGGUAGCUGGAUAAGAAGCGCCGGCUAACUACGUG
rnacentral:rRNA from 1 species